rnacentral:rRNA from 1 species
GGAGGAAUAUUGGUCAAUGGGCGAGAGCCUGAACCAGCCAAGUCGCGUGAGGGAAGAAUGGUCUAUGGCCUGUAAACCUCUUUUGUCAGGGAAGAAUAAGGAUGACGAGUCAUUCGAUGCCAGUACUUGACGAAUAAGCAUCGGCUAACUCCGUGCCAGCAGCCGCGGUAAUACGGGGGAUGCGAGCGUUAUCCGGAUUUAUUGGGUUUAAAGGGCGCGUAGGCGGGACGUCAAGUCAGCGGUAAAAGACUGCAGCUAAACUGUAGCACGCCGUUGAAACUGGCGCCCUGGAGACGAGACGAGGGAGGCGGAACAAGUGAAGUAGCGGUGAAAUGCAUAGAUAU